CGAAGGGGUCGGAUGAUCGCUUCCCAACACCCUAAGUUAGGGUGAAGGGGGGAGGAAAGUCCGAGCUCCACAGGGCAAGGUGGUCCGUAACACGGACUGUUCCAUCUCGUAAGGGAUGGAAUAAGGAAAGUGCCACAGAAAAGAUACCGUCCCGCUUUAGGCGGGAUAAGGGUGAAAAGGCGAGGUAAGAGCUCACCAGUAUUCUGAGCGAUCAGAAUAGCUUGGCAAACCCCACCUGGAGCAAGACCAAAUAGGUCCCGUUCUUCUGCGAAAGCAGAAGGGAGAAUGGCCCGUUCAACUUCAUUCUCAUUGGAGUGGAGACGGGACGGGUUGGUCGCUGGAGAUCCUGAGUAAUCAGGAUCCAAGAUAAAUGAUCAUCCCCCUCGAGGAGGGAGACAGAACUCGGCUUACAGACCCCUUCGAUUU
rnacentral:RNase_P_RNA from 1 species